rnacentral:rRNA from 1 species
AUUGAACGCUGGCGGCAGGCCUAACACAUGCAAGUCGAGCGGAUGAAGGGAGCUUGCUCCUGGAUUCAGCGGCGGACGGGUGAGUAAUGCCUAGGAAUCUGCCUGGUAGUGGGGGAUAACGUCCGGAAACGGGCGCUAAUACCGCAUACGUCCUGAGGGGGAAAGUGGGGGAUCUUCGGACCUCACGCUAUCAGAUGAGCCUAGGUCGGAUUAGCUAGUUGGUGGGGUAAAGGCCUACCAAGGCGACGAUCCGUAACUGGUCUGAGAGGAUGAUCAGUCACACUGGAACUGAGACACGGUCCAGACUCCUACGGGAGGCAGCAGUGGGGAAUAUUGGACAAUGGGCGAAAGCCUGAUCCAGCCAUGCCGCGUGUGUGAAGAAGGUCUUCGGAUUGUAAAGCACUUUAAGUUGGGAGGAAGGGCAGUAAGUUAAUACCUUGCUAUUUUGACGUUACCAACAGAAUAAGCACCGGCUAACUUCGUG